rnacentral:ncRNA from 2 species
AAGUAAAAGGGAGACGUUGAAAUGCGUUUAGUAUCUGGGCAUCUUAAACGUAAGGAGUCAGUGAUGCAACCGUCCCAAAAUG